rnacentral:lncRNA from 1 species
AUGAAUAACUUUUGUUCUUUUUCUUUUUCUCUAGUCCCUGAUGAACCACCUAAUCUUCAGUGUGCAGACAUGCGUGUUGCUGACUGUGAGCCUACCAGAUACUCUCAGUGUACUGCAUAUGUGCCAUAUAACAACAGGCUAUGUCUAGAAGAACAUCAAGUAGAUGCACGUGGGGGUGAUUCUGGUGGUGGAGUGAUUUACAACAACAUGAUUUAUGGUGUAAUCAGUUCUGGUUUUGAACGUGUCUGUACUGGACCAGCUGUUACUGUGAAUGUUUGUUCUUACAUGAACUGGAUAAAUCAGAAAAUUGCCCAAAAUAAUGGAAAAUAACUGAAUGAAAAUAACAUCCAGAAUAAACAAUCAUCUCUACAUGAAACUUGUGUGCUGUGUGUUAUUUCUACUCUAGAACAUCUUCAUGUUAACUGCAAAUUGUGAACCUUUUUCUUUGGUCUAAAAUAUUGUGUUAGAUUUGCAGCUUGUGUGUGUUUGAAUGUGGUGUCAGGUGUGUAGCAGCUCAUCCUGUUGUUCAGAAACUCUCAGACUCACACUGUGAAGAUGCAGAAAGGCUUUCUGAUCAGACAUGCCACCAAUCAGCUGCAGGGCCUGAACAUGAUAAACUUUAUAAAUCUGACCUGAUUGUUGAGGGUGGAAACGUUUACAUGGAGGCUGUUGGCUCAUUGGUGUCAGAUGAACUUUUUUUUAAAUCACUGCACUGAGGGCAUUAAAAUAAACACAGUAACCAACAAAAUAAGUUUUGUUGAUAAAAUACAUUUCUUGAAACCGUCCAUUGUUUUGUCCGAACUCUAAACAUUGAAUCCAAUUUUCAAACUAAAAGCAGUGCUUUCAAAAAAAAAAUACCCCAAAACAAAAAACCUACAAAAACAAAAAAUAAACAAAAUAAAAUUAUAGUACACAGUGACAUAUGUAUUUUAUAUCUCAUAACACAGGGGUGGGCAAUUCCAGGCCUCGAGGGCCGAUGUCCCUGCAGGUUUUAGAUCUCACCUUGGGUCAACACACCUGAAUCACAUGAUUAGCUCGUUACCAGGCCUCUGGAGAACCUGAGGAGCUAAUUUAGCCAUUUAAAUCAGCUGUGUUGGUUCAAGGACACAUCUAAAACCUGCAGGGACACCGGCCCUCGAGGCCUGGAGUUGCCGACUCCUGUCAUAACACGUCAUUUCAAUCUUGUCUUCAGUCCUGCAUUUUUAUACUUCUAAGACCAAAGUGAAAACUAAACUCUUUAUAUUCACAAAGCUCAUAAACACUAUUUGUUUCAGGAUUUCAUCAUGAUUAAUUUUCCAUAUGAGGCAGUGCUUUCACAUUCCUUUUGAAGUAGUACAGAGAAAUUCC